CAUAAAAAUCGGUAAGAAAAUAGGGAAGUUAUACGAGUUUUUCCACUUGGAUUCUCUCAUUCGUGUGACACAUUUUCUCUUCUAUUUUUCUCUGAAAUUUUCCAGUUUUUCAGAUUGUUCAUCCCGACCUACCAGGAGCUCUGGAUCAGAGGGACGACUUCGCCACUUGUUUUCCCGUUUGAACUCAUUAAUGCCUGCGUGCUUUUCCUCUUUUGUUCCAGGGGCUUCCCGAUUUCUACGACUCCCUACCUGGACCGCCUUGGAUUACUUUAAAAAAAAAAAUAAUUGACGUCACAGUGGGGGACUCAUAUAACAAAUAAAAACAAAUAAAUCAUCAACUGCUCAAGAAUAUGAGGAUUUCAGAGCUAAUCCUGAAGGGCCAUGAAAACAAGUGAAGACCGAAGA